AGCAUGUUAGCUCAGGGGAAGAGCGGUAUUUACAUCACGUGAUCCUCAUAUUGUCAGUCAAAUAACUAACUUCGUUUAGCCGGGCUCAUAACCCGGAGGACCCUGGAUCGAAACCAGGACAUGCUA
rnacentral:tRNA from 1 species